rnacentral:rRNA from 1 species
GCGCCUAACACAUGCAAGUCGAACGAGUGAGAGAGAGCUUGCUUUCUCGAGCGAGUGGCGAACGGGUGAGUAACGCGUGAGGAACCUGCCUCAAAGAGGGGGACAACAGUUGGAAACGACUGCUAAUACCGCAUAAGCCCACGACCCGGCAUCGGGUAGAGGGAAAAGGAGCAAUCCGCUUUGAGAUGGCCUCGCGUCCGAUUAGCUAGUUGGUGAGGUAACGGCCCACCAAGGCGACGAUCGGUAGCCGGACUGAGAGGUUGAACGGCCACAUUGGGACUGAGACACGGCCCAGACUCCUACGGGAGGCAGCAGUGGGGAAUAUUGCACAAUGGGGGAAACCCUGAUGCAGCGACGCCGCGUGGAGGAAGAAGGUCUUCGGAUUGUAAACUCCUGUUGUUGAGGAAGAUAAUGACGGUACUCAACAAGGAAGUGACGGCUAACUACGUGCCAGCAGCCGCGGUAAAACGUAGGUCACAAGCGUUGUCCGGAAUUACUGGGUGUAAAGGGAGCGCAGGCGGGAAGACAAGUUGGAAGUGAAAUCCAUGGGCUCAACCCAUGAACUGCUUUCAAAACUGUUUUUCUUGAGUAGUGCAGAGGUAGGCGGAAUUCCCGGUGUAGCGGUGGAAUGCGUAGAUAUCGGGAGGAACACCAGUGGCGAAGGCGGCCUACUGGG